AUACGGAGGGUGCAAGCGUUAAUCGGAAUUACUGGGCGUAAAGAGUACGUAGGUGGUUUGUUAAGUCAGAUGUGAAAGCCCCGGGCUCAACCUGGGAACUGCAUUUGAAACUGGCAAACUAGAGUACGGUAGAGGGGGGUAGAAUUUCUAGUGUAGCGGUGAAAUGUGUAGAUAUUAGAAGGAAUACCAGUGGCGAAGGCGGCCCCCUGGACCAAUACUGACACUGAGGUACGAAAGCGUGGGUAGCGAACAGGAUUAGAAACCCUAGUAGUCC
rnacentral:rRNA from 1 species